rnacentral:tRNA from 1 species
AAGCUAUUUAUUUUCAAUUG